rnacentral:rRNA from 1 species
UCCGGUUGAUCCUGCCAGAUGUUACUGCUAUCGAGAUUCGACUAAGCCAUGCGAGUUGAAUGUUCUUCUGAACAUGGCGGACUGCUCANUAACGCGUGGACAACCUACCCUUGGGUCCGGCAUAAUCCUGGGAAACUGGGAAUAAUUCCGGAUAGGUCACCGAUGCUGGAAUGCGCGGAGGCCGAAAGCUCCAGCGCCCGAAGAUGGGUCUGCGGCCUAUCACGUUGUAUUGGGUGUAACGUACCUACUAUCCUACUACUGGUACCGGUUGUGAGAGCAAGAACCCGGAGAUGGAUUCUGACACACGAAUCCAGGCCCUACCGGGUGCAUCACGCGCGAAGACUUUACAAUGCGGGAAACCGUGAUAAGGGGAUCUCGAGUGCCAUCAUAUAAUGUUGGCUGUCCAUAUGCCAAAUAAGCAUUGUUACCAAGGGCCGGGCGAGACCGGUGCCGGCCGCCGCGGUAACACCGGCGGGCCCGAUGGUAACCGCUAUUAUUGGGUCUAAAGGGUCUGUAUCCGGUCAGGUGAGUCCAUUGGGAAAUCUGGCAGCUCACCUGUCAUGCUGCUGCGGGAUACUGUUUGGCUUGGGACCGGGACAUGUGAGAGGUACCUUGGGGGUAGGGGUGAAAUCUUGUGAUCCUCGAGGGACCACCAGUGGCGAAGGCGUCUCACCAGAACGGGUCCGACGGUAAGGGACGAAAGCUAGGGGCACGAACCGGAUUAGAUACCCGGGUAGUCCUAGCCGUAAACGAUGCUCGCUAGGUGUCAGUCACGGUGCGACCGUGAUUGGUGCCGUAGGGAAGCCGUGAAGCGAGCCACCUGGGAAGUAUGGCCGCAAGGCUGAAACUUAAAGGAAUUGGCGGGGGAGCACUACAACGGGCGGAGCCUGCGGUUUAAUUGGAUUCAACGCCGGAAAUCUCACCGGGGGCGACAGCGAUAUGAAGGUCAGGGUGAAGACUUUACCGGAUUAGGUGAGAGGUGGUGCAUGGCCGUCGUCAGUUCGUACUGUGAAGCAUCAUGUUAAGUCAGGCAACGAGCGAGACCCACAUCCACAGUUGCCAGCAUGUUCUCCGGAAUGAUGGGUACACUGUGGAGACCGCCGCUGCUAAAGCGGAGGAAGGAGUGGGCAACGGUAGGUCAGUAUGCCCCGAAUCUCCCGGGCUACACGCGGGCUACAAUGGUUGGUACAAUGGGCAUCUACCCCGAAAGGGGAAGGAAAUAUCUUAAAACCACUUGUAGUUGGGAUUGAGGGUUGCAGCUCGCCCUCAUGAAGCUGGAAUCGGUAGUAAUGGAGUUUCAACAGAACGCGGGGAAUACGUCCGUGCUCUUUGCACACACCUCCCGUCAAACCACCCGAGUAGGGUCUGGAUGAGGGUGUGUUUUAUUGACACAUUCGAAUCUGGGCUUUGCAAGGGGGGAU